GACGAACGCUGGCGGCGUGCUUAACACAUGCAAGUCGAACGGAAAGGCCCUGCUUUUGUGGGGUGCUCGAGUGGCGAACGGGUGAGUAACACGUGAGUAACCUGCCCUUGACUUUGGGAUAACUUCAGGAAACUGGGGCUAAUACCGGAUAGGAGCUCCUGCUGCAUGGUGGGGGUUGGAAAGUUUCGGCGGUUGGGGAUGGACUCGCGGCUUAUCAGCUUGUUGGUGGGGUAGUGGCUUACCAAGGCUUUGACGGGUAGCCGGCCUGAGAGGGUGACCGGCCACAUUGGGACGGGGGUACGGCCCAGACCCCUACGGGGGGGAGGGGGGGGGAAUUUUGCAAAAUGGGGGGAAGCCUGAUGCAGAAACCCCGGGUGGGGGAUGGCGGCCUUGGGGUGGUAAACCGCUUUCGCCUGUGACGAAGCGUGGGUGACGGUAAUGGGGAAAGAAGCACCGGCUAACUACGU
rnacentral:rRNA from 1 species